GAUGAACGCUGGCGGCGUGCCUAAUACAUGCAAGUCGAGCGAACAGACGAGGAGCUUGCUCCUCUGACGUUAGCGGCGGACGGGUGAGUAACACGUGGAUAACCUACCUAUAAGACUGGGAUAACUUCGGGAAACCGGAGCUAAUACCGGAUAAUAUAUUGAACCGCAUGGUUCAAUAGUGAAAGACGGUUUUACUGUCACUUAUAGAUGGAUCCGCGCCGCAUUAGCUAGUUGGUAAGGUAACGGCUUACCAAGGCAACGAUGCGUAGCCGACCUGAGAGGGUGAUCGGCCACACUGGAACUGAGACACGGUCCAGACUCCUACGGGAGGCAGCAGUAGGGAAUCUUCCGCAAUGGGCGAAAGCCUGACGGAGCAACGCCGCGUGAGUGAUGAAGGUCUUCGGAUCGUAAAACUCUGUUAUUAGGGAAGAACAAAUGUGUAAGUAACUAUGCACGUCUUGACGGUACCUAAUCAGAAAGCCACGGCCAACUACGUG
rnacentral:rRNA from 1 species